AAUGCACCAAAUAUAUUGAUGCAAACUGCUGUUUAGAGAAGAAGAAGAAUCACUGCAGCUGCGGGCCUGGUCUGCAGUCUGCUCCGUCUGAGACGACACUAUGGAGAUGUUUGGACUGCAGUAUAAUGAGCAUGGUUGCCCCCAGUUCCUGUGGACUGGGACCAGCACAGGACCAAGACUGCCCGACCUCCUCCAGAGCAGUGCAUCCACUGCACAGUCAUCGUAAUGGACGUGGCACUAAGGAGGAUUGUCCAGCCGCAGGUUUGUUAUGUUAUUGUGCUUUGAAGUUUA